UGGCAGCAGAAUGCACCACGUGUGUUUGUCAUUGGCGGAGAAAGGAGAUGGUUUUACCUGUCAUGUUGACGGUUUUGCGACAUGACCGAGCUGCCAAAACGAGCUGCACACGCAAAUUGCUAAUUGAAUUUAAAUUGCACUUUAAUUUGAUGAGCGGGCCCGAGAUGAUAAAUUGUGCAAACGCCCUGCCGAUUCGCUGACCGCAACAAUUGAGAGCGAAUUAAGGAUUCGACAUGCCACUUUCACUCUGCCAUGACGAGUUGCACCACUGCAUCAGUGCACCACCCAGCCAACCAAACUCAUUGCACCACCCAGUUAACCACCCAUAUGCACGGUGGCCAACCGGUCGAGUGCCAUAAUUUUUAGCUCUAAUUGCGCCACUGGAAAAAAAGGGGUCUUUGCGUCUGCCAGCGAGUCGCAGUCAAUUUAGCUAUUUUUGCGUUUAUUUUUCGUUUAAUGAAAUUACAAUAAACGCCCGUCGCAUGCAAAGGAGCCCAACCAAGUCAA